GCCUGCUACUAGCUGGCUUGAAGUUAGGGUUUAAAAGAAGGGGUUCACAGAUACAACGCAGACCUACUGAGGUUACGAUGGGGCAGAAGCACCCUAGAUCAUGCUGCAAAAUGCCACAAAUCUGUUUCCGACUGUGUGCCCAAGUCAUCCAUCAUGCAGUGGUGGAUAAGUAAGGGAGCGCAUGUCAUGGCGAUGGGGGGGCAGAAGGCGUAAGAAUGCCAGGGAAAGUUAGCAGAUAGAAAAGAUGAGGAGGAAGUCGGGAGGGCACAGCACUGAAGAAACAUGUGCAGGCAACAGGAUAAUCCCGCCUGAAAGCUGCCCUGCGGCAGCUACCAGCAACACAUCCCGCCUUUGCAAAAGCCAGCUUAACCACCGGGGGAAAAACACCACGGUUGGUUCAGCAAACAAAGUAAAGCAGACCAGAGAACAAUCCACAAUCUACAUGUGAAAAGGAAGGAGGAACACAGAGUGUCUGUAACCCUCUCCUUGCAGAAACCGAACUCCAGACUCAGUUUUGAAGCAGAGGGAAAAUGUCUGGACUGCUUCUGGCUGACUCAGACCCUUUAUUCCAGAUGCAGAGACAAAGCAGCACAAAGGAUUCCCAGAAGCCUCAUUUCCACCCAAGAAAUUAUUCUUCUGAAGAGCUCAAGGAUAUGGCAGAGAAUACAUCAGGCAAGAACAAGGUGUCUGUCAGAGUGCCGUCACAGCGCUGAACUCCAUGGAGACUUCCAGUGACUGUGAUAGACAAGAGUGCCUCAAAGAGCCGUUCUGAAACACCUUGCCCAGGUUAUACAAGGGACCACUCUAUACUGCAGAAAAGUUUGGAAUCUUAAAAAAAAUAAAAGUUGCUGAUGGUCCUUGUGGUGCCUGCAUCCCCAAGUCCGAGAAUAUGGAGUUACGUCUCCUGGAUGUUCUGGUCUCUGUUUUGCUUGAUUUGGAGCUUGUAUCAGUACAUAUACACCCUCCAUAUUUAUCCUCUAGUCUAGCUGCCAGGGGUUAUCAGAUUUUUAUUCCUUGUUCCUAAUUAUUGUUACAUCCAUGAGGGAGAUCGAGUGAGCUGACUAGGACAAAUGAAACAGCUGUUUAUCCUGAGCCCAAAACUCUUCAGUUUGAAGCUGCCAUCAUUGGUGACUUACAAGCUUGCCAUCCAGCCAUUCCAGUUACUAAUACAUCAAUUAUAAGCCAUGUAAAUUUAUGGCUAGGAUUAUAGUUGAAUGCGUGAUAAUAAAAAGCCUUCCAGUAAGACGAGGGCUCUGUGACAUUAUGAAUUAUCUGGCAGUCCUUUCUGCACAAUACUAUGUGGAUCGCAAUCAGCUCAACACAGAGGACUCUUCUCCCACUGGAGCCAUAGGGAGUGUUUCCAUUUAUUUUGGAAGGAACAGAAUCAGGACCAAAUCCUUAAUUUGUGCAUUACUCAGUCUCUGCACUGAGAGCUGUUUGGCUGACACUUGGAUUUGGAAGUCAAGACCCUGUCCUGAAAGAAACCUCUGGCAUAAGAAAGGCCAUAUGGGAACCACUGACACCAUGUGGGCAAAGCUCAGCACAUUUUGAUUACUGGAUUUUGAUCUGUCCCCUCUCAAGAGCUACACUGUGUUUGAUGGAUGAGACUCUAAUUGAAUUUAAACAAAUAAACUGCAGGUUACAAAGCAAACUCAAACAUUGCUAUGCAUUUUGAUGCCUCCAUAUUCCUAUCUUAAGGAGACAAAAAGGAAAUAAGACACAUAUAAUCAAUCUUUUUAUAUCUACACUCUUUUCUGACAUGUUUUUUAUUACAAUUGCAUGUUUAUUGGGAGAGAGGUAGACAGUUAAACCUCAGAUACUUGAUUUUCCUUAUAUCUCAUAUUCAUGAGAAUAUAAAAAGGCAGGCAGAAAGGAAAACAUAUAACGUG